GCUGGGCUAGCUCAGUCGGUAGUGCAUGGGACUCUUAAUCUCAGGGUUGUGGGUUUGAGCCCCACAUUGGGUG